rnacentral:rRNA from 1 species
GUCCAGACUCCUACGGGAGGCAGCAGUGGGGAAUAUUGCACAAUGGGGGAAACCCUGAUGCAGCGACGCCGCGUGAGCGAUGAAGUAUUUCGGUAUGUAAAGCUCUCUCAGCAGGGAAGAAGAUGACGGUACCUGACUAAGAAGCCCCGGCUAACUACGUGCCAGCAGCCGCGGUAAUACGUAGGGGGCAAGCGUUAUCCGGAUUUACUGGGUGUAAAGGGAGCGUAGACGGCGAUGCAAGCCAGAUGUGAAAGCCCGGGGCUCAACCCCGGGACUGCAUUUGGAACUGUGUGGCUGGAGUGUCGGAGAGGCAGGCGGAAUUCCUAGUGUAGCGGUGAAAUGCGUAGAUAUUAGGAGGAACACCAGUGGCGAAGGCGGCCUGCUGGACGAUGACUGACGUUGAGGCUCGAAAGCGUGGGGAGCAAACAGGAUUAGAUACCCUCGUA